GUUCACUUCGGCAGCACAUACACUAAAAUUGAAAUGGCACAGAGAAGAUUAGCAUGCCCCUGCAAAAGGAUGACAUGCAAGUUCAUGAAGGGUUCCAUAUUUUU